rnacentral:misc_RNA from 1 species
GACCUUAGAAUGCAUAGUAAAUAGCUUCUGAGCAGUAACGAGAGACAGAGUGCUUGGUGAAAACUCUGGCAGGAAAACUAUUGAAUUACACAUUCUUUGUAAUAGGUCAUAAGAUAACGAGAGGCUGGUAAUAUUUUUCCAGCAAUCAGGGUGGUAACGCGGAGAAAGCUUCGUCCCUAUA